GAGUGCACUGCCCGCUCUUCUGGCUGGUGUUGGCAAGCGCGGAGUUGAGCGCAGAAACUUCCUUGAUGACCUGAAAAACAUUGGCAAAGGUCUUCUUCACGAAGUUGAGAAUCUCGCCCCAACUGUCAUCGAGAGUGCACUGCCCGCUCUUCUGGCUGGUGUUGGCAAGCGUGAAAUUGAACGCAGAAAUUUCCUUGAUGAG